rnacentral:rRNA from 1 species
UGGAAGAUGGGUGCACCAGAAGCGCCCGGGUUUUGUUCUUGAGAUAUUUUUCUCGAGCACAGAACCCGGGCACCAAGGUGAAACCAUUGACUGGGUCG